GCAUAAGGUAUACAGGCAUGUUUUUGCACACCUCUCAUGUGCGAGUGGGCAUGGCCUCCUUCACAGUUAAGUUUUGGCUGAUUGUGCUCAAAUUUUGUAAGUACCUACAUGUAAAGGGAUGUAGAUACAGUUAGUCGGGCACUCUUCUUAAUUCAGUUUUGUGCACCACUUCCUGCUUUCACCAUGCUGUGCCCACUCUGCUUUACAGUGGACAGCUGCUUCUGUGACACGCAUUAAUCUUGCGUUCAUUGAAACACUUAGUUUUGAGUGUUUUGACUCAGUUUUGUUGUAACGUUACCUGUGUUUAUAUUUUCAAUAACUUGUUUUGGGCUUCUCAUAUUUAUCUUUUUUCUUGGCUUAGCAGGUUUAGUGUAAAACAAGUUUUAGCUGACAUUUUACAUGUUAAGAUUACAUGAGUGCAUACAUUUUAUAAAAGCUAUUUCAAAGUACUGUAGCCAUGUGUAACAUGCAUAUGUCUUAGUGAAUGACUACUCAGCAUGCUGCUUGGUGCUCAAUGCACAGAAGAUCCUCAGUCAUAGUUAACAAAAUGGAAAAAAAUUAGCUGUGUUUUUAAGAUUCCAGUGGUGGCCAUCAACUGCUCAGGAAAGCAGCCCAGAAUCACUUCACAACAGGUUUCCAAAGGAUCAUCAUUCAUCAGCACAGAAGGGUGGGAAAGAGAAGGCUGUUCAAAUUCUGAAAAGCCAGAGCUGCAAAGGAGGUCAAAGAUGCAGUGCAGUUGGUCCACUCAGUAGAGUUUCACUAGUGGUUCUGAUGUGGACUGAAGAUUACACGCUGGAUUGAAGUGGCCGGUCUGGAGCAGCUGUAGUUCAUCAUUCUUGCUGAUUGUGGACGAGUAAGAUCCCGCGUUGGCCCCGAUCGGCGAUCGCUGGCCAAAGCCCACCACCAGGUUGGUGAUAGGCGUUGGCUGUGAUAUCUAGUGUCGCCUAUGUGU